rnacentral:lncRNA from 1 species
UCAAAGGAAAUCAUCAAGUGACCUUGAAAUCUGCACUGGCAUUUUCCUGGCAGAGAAAGAAGCUCUCUUCUCAUUUGCAAACAUGAAUAACAAUUUGAUCAUUCUUAAAACUUCUAAAAGGUUAAUUAUGCUCUCUCCAGUGAGCAGACUUCAGAAGGCUCAGUCAUGUAACGACUACGUUCGUCAUUAAUGCAAAGCAACGUGACAGGAAAAUUGGAAGAAUAUGGGAAAACCUCAAAUACUUCAAUGAGGAAAACAAAACCAAAGGCUGCACGGUCAAAUCAGUACAGUCAACUGAGGAAGGUGGAUUCCAUCAACUUGGGAGCAAAUGUGGGGACUGAAUUGGCAGAAAUGUCCAGAUAUUUCAUGGGAGACUCAACUGGACAGCUCGUGCCGUAAGUGAAGCUGCACUUCUCAAGAGAAAGCUUGACCUCUACCAGAUGAACUGGUGUUGCACUGGAGUUUUCAAUUGGCUGGAUCUGGGCAGGAAGACCUCCACAGCGUACAUCCAGAAGCAGCGGUCUAGUUCCUGCACUCUACUGCUGGCUGCAGUGCCCUUGUCACCAGUGUUCCUCAGGUCUUCCAUUUAGCUGUUUGAUUGGCAGGUAGGUUGAACUGUCCUAUCUAGGCGCUCCUAGGACGCUCCUCCAGUAUUAAAUGUAGUUGAAUGGUUUUUUUUUUUUUGCAAAGAAGUUUAGAAAAGCCCCCACCACCCUUGAAGUGAUGUAACCAUACAUUCCUCGGCUUGUGAAAUCAGCAUUUAAUCUGCUUUUCCCCAGAAGGUGGGGCAGAAUUUGGAAAUAAGAGCUUAUAUUCAAAGUUUGCUGUAACAGGAGACGCAGUGCAUUCGCAAAGCCCUGUGCUUAUACACACCCACCAGGUGCAAACACAGACUUGUAUGAGCACGUUUCGACCGUUUACCAAUAUUUGCCAAUUCAGUGUUCUUAACUAUGUGCCAAUGCAAAAUCACCUUUUAUGCUGAAUUUUAAAAUGCUGAUGUACACAUUACAAAUGUUUUUAAUUUGCAUACCAUGUUUUGAAUGCAAAGUAGGAAUGGAUGAACCCCAAGAAUAUUUGUGUGUUCAUAUAGCAGAAUGAUCGUUCACUCAACUCUUCUGCCAGCGACCAACUAUUUUUUCUGACGAUGGUUUAUGUACUACUCCAUGUUUCUCAUAAAUAACUAGAUAUGUGGAAUGUAUUAAGGAUGUAAUCAGCUUGGUAUUUGGAUUACAUUUCUCUUCAGCUCCCAUUACAAUCAGUGUAAAGGUUCCCUCUGAUUUCAACGAGAGUUAGAUCAGACCUGGGGCACUAUUUUUUUAAGGCCACAUUAAGUGCUGCUGUUCAUUGACAUUGUUU